AAUAGAUACCCUGGUAGUCCACGCCGUAAACGAUGAGUGCUAAGUGUUGGGGGGUUUCCGCCCCUCAGUGCUGCAGCUAACGCAUUAAGCACUCCGCCUGGGGAGUACGGUCGCAAGACUGAAACUCAAAGGAAUUGACGGGGGCCCGCACAAGCGGUGGAGCAUGUGGUUUAAUUCGAAGCAACGCGAAGAACCUUACCAGGUCUCGACAUCCCGGUGACCACUAUGGAGACAUAGUUUCCCCUUCGGGGGCAACGGUGACAGGUGGUGCAUGGUUGUCGUCAGCUCGUGUCGUGAGAUGUUGGGUUAAGUCCCGCAACGAGCGCAACCCUUAUUCUUAGUUGCCAUCAUUCAGUUGGGCACUCUAAGGGAGACUGCCGGUGAUAAACCGGAGGAAGGUGGGGAUGACGUCAAAUCAUCAUGCCCCUUAUGACCUGGGCUACACACGUGCUACAAUGGACGGUACAAACGGUUGCCAACCCGCGAGGGGGAGCUAAUCCGAUAAAACCGUUCUCAGUUCGGAUUGUAGGCUGCAACUCGCCUAC
rnacentral:rRNA from 1 species